CACGAGCCUGCCUCCAGGAAGCUUCCUGGACCUUUCUUCUGCCACCCCCCUCCACCGCAGGCAGACGAUACUCCCUCCACACCAUUUCCUCUGAGUCAACGACCAGCCCAGCGAGUGGCAUGGAGGAGUGGUCUAUGAAGACCCCUGGACCUGUUCAUGCUCCCCAGUGGCCUGGCUGGGGGCUGGGGCCAGGAAGACCUGCAGAGGCCACGGAGCAGCACCGGCCCAGCGGAAGCCGCCUCUCCACCAGAGGCCUCAAGUCAUAUGGGCCGGCCAAACAGAUGGGAUAAAUCAAUGCCAAGGACGCUGUCACCCCAGGCAAUCCAGCUCCACUCAAUUUUCAUGUGAAUUUAGCAGCUCUGCAUGGUUUUUAAGAACCCAAUUGUAUCCUGACACUUUUUAAAUGAUGCCUCUUUAGAUCCCGCCAUAAUUUAUCUUUUACUUAGGACCAGCUCUGCUUCCAUAACAGUCUGGAAGAAAAAAACACACACACAGUGACUUCCCUUAAUUUACAAUAGUCUGCACUCAGUAAAACACGGAUGGCAGGGGUUUGCCAAAUGUGAAUUCCAUGUCAGCAGUGCAUUUUGGUAAAGCUUAAGUGGCUUUAUUUUGAAAGAAAAUACACAUUUAAAAGCUGUUUACCUAUGCAAGUGGGGGCGAGGGUAAGUAUGUGGGUGUGUGAGAAAGAACAUACCCUGGUACAAACAAACCCCAAAGUGAAGAUUUACACCUGCCAGCCAAGAGGGCUCUGUUCUCCCUCUUAAAAAGAAAAAGGAUCAAAUUCUUGAAAAGUGCAAAGGAAAGUGAGUGACCAGACAGAUUCUCUGAUGGAUCCGCAUUCUGAAAUCUGAACCCACAACUCUGAACCUGAACAUGGAAGUCAGCAGAUGUGGGGCCACCUCCAGAGCCGCCUCUACCAUCCUGAGCAAACCGCUCAACAUCACUGACCUCCGAUUUUUGGAUACAAUGUCCGUCUCCACGCACAUCCCUUGUCUAUUUUACCCAGGGGCUGUGAAAGUAAAAGACAGAAGAAGACAGCAAAUAAUGUUUAUCUAGAGCCUAAAAGGAACUGGGUGUUGUCCCCUCAUCUUGUUUCUUCCACAGAACCCUCAUAGGGCCAAGGGUUAACAUCGCUAGGGUGCAGAAGGGAAACCAAGGCAGCGAGUUCUCAGAUCCUAUGCACAGGGUCACCAAGCUAGGUAAUGAGAGCUUCAUGGAGAAAAUGCCAUCUGAGUUUGCAAAACAGAAGUGACUUUACUAUUUGGAAACUGCCUGUUUUGGUCCUUGCUUCUCAGCAGCUGCAGCAGUGGCCAUCACCUGGUGUGUGUUUAAAAUGAAGACUCCCAGACCCCAUCCUGGACCUGUGGAUUCAGAAGCUGGCAGUUUAGCAGGAUCCUGGGCUGAUUCUUUUGCACACUGAAGUUUGGGAAGCACUGGUUUAAGGGAUAUAUUCUGUUAAAGAAGGAACAAGAAAGAGCCGGAAGGGAAAAGAGCAAGGCAGCCAGGAUAUCCACCAUUCAAGAGGCAAUGGGGGCUGCAAACAAGCUGGGGCCUCAUUUUGUAACCACCCUCCCACCCCCAGGAGAUUCUGCCUCUUCUGCCUUGCCUGCCUCAGAACUCAAAGUAAAGCAAACUUUCCCCAGCAGUUCCCAGUGUGGCCCCCGGCCGGCAGCCUCUGCAUGUCCUGGGAGCCUGCUAGAGACGCAAAUCCUCCGCACCUUCCCAGGCCCUUGGAAUCAGAAGCUGGAGUUGGGGCUCAGCAGUAACAGGCUUGUGGGUGAUGCAGCAAUCCUAACAAAGCUCACUGUCACAAUGGCCCCUGUCCACAUAACAGGGUCAUUUGCAUUUUACUGCAGGUCCACACCUGGCUUGGACACCAGUUAGAAAAACAGCCUGCCUUUACACUCGCUGUACAAACCUCAUUUCUAAAGCGUAUUUUCAUCGAUGACUUCACUUAACCCUCAGAGUAGCCACAAGAAAGAGGAAGAUGGGCACCGCCAUUCCUAUUCUGCAGAGGUGAGACUGAGUUCCGUUAUAUACAGGUCCCAGACAGGGCUGAACAGGGCCUUCUGAGACGCUGCUGUGACGCCCACAGUCACCCUCAGUUCACUGCAAGUUGCAUCACACAGCCAACGAGACCUUUUCGACCCAGACAAGACUGGCUGAUGGCCUUGCGCAGGCUCAGCUAGGAGCAGGCUCGGGGC
rnacentral:lncRNA from 10 species